GCUGGGCAUGGUGGUGCAUGCCUAUAAUCCCAGCAGCUCAGGAGGCUGAGGCAGGAGGAUCAUGAGUUCAAAGCCAGCCUCAGAAAAAGCCAAAUGAUAAGCAACUCAGUGAGAACCUGUCUCUA
rnacentral:sRNA from 1 species